rnacentral:lncRNA from 1 species
UUUCUCCGUAAAGCCCAGCGCCAUCCACGGCUCCUGGCUGUGAGCAGCUGCCACUUCAUUCCUUCCGUUUCUGCAGAGUCACGCUGUUCGCCUGCCACAGUGUUGCCCGUGUGCGCUGUCCUGGCCGAGACCCUUGACUGUCCCGCCCCUCGGGACACCUGUGGUCGCCGCCCCUCCUCCGUCCAGAGGCGGAGGAGACGUUUGGGGCGGCCCCCAGAGUCCCCUCCCCGCCCACCUCUCCCGCGUCCCCUCGACCUCCUCCUGGGGGCGCGGCGGGCUGAGGUGACAGCAAGUCCGCCUGCCCUCCGGGACCGCGACAGGAAGCGCUAGGCCGGCGCCGCGGGGACCCAAGGCCCAGCAAGCACGCGGGAGCAGGGCAGGCCCCUGGAGCUCGCAGUGGUCACCUCAGCAGGCCACCGCUGCCCUGGCUGCCAGCGUCCUGGGCUCAGGCCCUGUCUUGCUCUGUGGCGUCCACAGCUCCCUGCCUGGCCUCUGAGACCCUGUGUCCGGUGAACAAUGGAGGAAGGGCUCAGCCUGCUGCU